rnacentral:rRNA from 1 species
CCCUUAGAUGUUCUGGGCUGCACACGUGCUACACUGGCAGGUUCAGCGAGCUUCAUGCCCUGAUCUGAAAGGAAUGGGAAAUCUUUUCAAAACCUGCCGUGCUUGGGAUAGAUGUUUGCAAUUAUUCAUCUUCAACGAGGAUUGCCUUGUAAGCGCACGUCAUCAACGUGCAUUGAAUACGACCCUGUAUUCUGUACACACCGCCCGUCGCUCCUACCGAUUGAAGUUUUCGGUGAGUUGACAGGAGGAUUUUUUUGAAACUGGUUCGCCAGUGGAUUUUAGAUCCAAAUGCCAACGAAUCGAUGGCUUUAGAGGAAGGAGAAGUCGUAACA